GACGGAGGAUGUAAGUGUUAUCCGGAAUCACUGGGCGUAAAGCGUCUGUAGGUGGUUCGAAAAGUCCACUGUUAAAAAUUGAGGCUUAACUUCAAAGAUGCCGUGGAAACUUUCAAACUAGAGUAUGGUAGGGGUAGAGGGAAUUUCCAGUGGAGCGGUGAAAUGCGUAGAUAUUGGAAAGACCACCGAUGGCGAAGGCACUCUACUGGGCCAUUACUGACACUGAGAGACGAAAGCUAGGGGAGCAAAUGGG
rnacentral:rRNA from 1 species